UCGCACCAUGUGAAUAGCCGUUGCGAAUUUCGCACCUGCGAAAAUCGCAGUGCAAAAUCGCACCAUGUGAAACAGCCUUCAUUCCGGUUUGCUGGCAUGAUGCCACUCGUGUGCUUUGGUAAUAGCGGCUGUAACAGCCUUGGUUGUUCUGAUGUCUACUGGUGGUGUCACUGGAAUUCCCAAAUUUCCUGCAAGAAAAUUGCAAAUAAAAGGAUUCUCAUUGUGCUUUUUUUUAUGGAUGGGGAGUAUGUGGUGCCAUGGAUGGAGUCUUGCCCCCUCAUUCUGUACACUAUGUUAGUCUUCUGUGUCCAAUGCCAUUUUACAUUUGAAUGCGAUUGUAUAAUUUUGUUAAGUUCUGGCUCUCACCUACGCUUGAAAGUUUGUUACCCACUGCUGGUGGCACACUUGCACUUGUGUGAAAUUUUUUUCAAUAAUAGAAAGUCUAUCACUUA